GAGAGUUUGAUCCUGGCUCAGAACGAACGCUGGCGGCGUGGAUAAGACAUGCAAGUCGAACGAGAGAAUUGCUAGCUUGCUAAUAAUUCUCUAGUGGCGCACGGGUGAGUAACACGUGAGUAACCUGCCCCCGAGAGCGGGAUAGCCCUGGGAAACUGGGAUUAAUACCGCAUAGUAUCGAAAGAUUAAAGCAGCAAUGCGCUUGGGGAUGGGCUCGCGGCCUAUUAGUUAGUUGGUGAGGUAACGGCUCACCAAGGCGAUGACGGGUAGCCGGUCUGAGAGGAUGUCCGGCCACACUGGAACUGAGACACGGUCCAGACACCUACGGGUGGCAGCAGUCGAGAAUCAUUCACAAUGGGGGAAACCCUGAUGGUGCGACGCCGCGUGGGGGAAUGAAGGUCUUCGGAUUGUAAACCCCUGUCAUGUGGGAGCAAAUUAAAAAGAUAGUACCACAAGAGGAAGAGACGGCUAACUCUGUGCCAGCAGCCGCGGUAAUACAGAGGUCUCAAGCGUUGUUCGGAAUCACUGGGCGUAAAGCGUGCGUAGGCUGUUUCGUAAGUCGUGUGUGAAAGGCGCGGGCUCAACCCGCGGACGGCACAUGAUACUGCGAGACUAGAGUAAUGGAGGGGGAACCGGAAUUCUCGGUGUAGCAGUGAAAUGCGUAGAUAUCGAGAGGAACACUCGUGGCGAAGGCGGGUUCCUGGACAUUAACUGACGCUGAGGCACGAAGGCCAGGGGAGCGAAAGGGAUUAGAUACCCCUGUAGUCCUGGCAGUAAACGGUGCACGCUUGGUGUGCGGGGAAUCGACCCCCUGCGUGCCGGAGCUAACGCGUUAAGCGUGCCGCCUGGGGAGUACGGUCGCAAGAUUAAAACUCAAAGAAAUUGACGGGGACCCGCACAAGCGAUGGAGUAUGUGGCUUAAUUCGAUGCAACGCGAAGAACCUUACCUGGGCUUGACAUGUAAUGAACAACAUGUGAAAGCAUGCGACUCUUCGGAGGCGUUACACAGGUGCUGCAUGGCCGUCGUCAGCUCGUGUCGUGAGAUGUUUGGUUAAGUCCAGCAACGAGCGCAACCCCUGUUGCCAGUUACCAGCACGUGAAGGUGGGGACUCUGGCGAGACUGCCCAGAUCAACUGGGAGGAAGGUGGGGACGACGUCAGGUCAGUAUGGCCCUUAUGCCCAGGGCUGCACACGUACUACAAUGCCCAGUACAGAGGGGGCCGAAGCCGCGAGGCGGAGGAAAUCCUAAAAACUGGGCCCAGUUCGGACUGUAGGCUGCAACCCGCCUACACGAAGCCGGAAUCGCUAGUAAUGGCGCAUCAGCUACGGCGCCGUGAAUACGUUCCCGGGUCUUGUACACACCGCCCGUCACAUCAUGGAAGCCGGUCGCACCCGAAGUAUCUGAAGCCAACCGCAAGGAGGCAGGGUCCUAAGGUGAGACUGGUAACUGGGAUGAAGUCGUAACAAGGUAGCCG
rnacentral:rRNA from 1 species